rnacentral:rRNA from 1 species
GCAAGUCGAGCGGUAGCACAGAGAGCUUGCUCUCGGGUGACGAGCGGCGGACGGGUGAGUAAUGUCUGGGAAACUGCCUGAUGGAGGGGGAUAACUACUGGAAACGGUAGCUAAUACCGCAUAACGUCGCAAGACCAAAGUGGGGGACCUUCGGGCCUCAUGCCAUCAGAUGUGCCCAGAUGGGAUUAGCUGGUAGGUGGGGUAACGGCUCACCUAGGCGACGAUCCCUAGCUGGUCUGAGAGGAUGACCAGCCACACUGGAACUGAGACACGGUCCAGACUCCUACGGGAGGCAGCAGUGGGGAAUAUUGCACAAUGGGCGCAAGCCUGAUGCAGCCAUGCCGCGUGUGUGAAGAAGGCCUUCGGGUUGUAAAGCACUUUCAGCGGGGAGGAAGGCGGUGAGGUUAAUAACCUCAUCGAUUGACGUUACCCGCAGAAGAAGCACCGGCUAACUCCGUGCCAGCAGCCGCGGUAAUACGGAGGGUGCAAGCGUUAAUCGGAAUUACUGGGCGUAAAGCGCACGCAGGCGGUCUGUCAAGUCGGAUGUGAAAUCCCCGGGCUCAACCUGGGAACUGCAUUCGAAACUGGCAGGCUAGAGUCUUGUAGAGGGGGGUAGAAUUCCAGGUGUAGCGGUGAAAUGCGUAGAGAUCUGGAGGAAUACCGGUGGCGAAGGCGGCCCCCUGGACAAAGACUGACGCUCAGGUGCGAAAGCGUGGGGAGCAAACAGGAUUAGAUACCCUGGUAGUCCACGCUGUAAACGAUGUCGAUUUGGAGGUUGUGCCCUUGAGGCGUGGCUUCCGGAGCUAACGCGUUAAAUCGACCGCCUGGGGAGUACGGCCGCAAGGUUAAAACUCAAAUGAAUUGACGGGGGCCCGCACAAGCGGUGGAGCAUGUGGUUUAAUUCGAUGCAACGCGAAGAACCUUACCUGGUCUUGACAUCCACAGAACUUUCCAGAGAUGGAUUGGUGCCUUCGGGAACUGUGAGACAGGUGCUGCAUGGCUGUCGUCAGCUCGUGUUGUGAAAUGUUGGGUUAAGUCCCGCAACGAGCGCAACCCUUAUCCUUUGUUGCCAGCGGUCCGGCCGGGAACUCAAAGGAGACUGCCAGUGAUAAACUGGAGGAAGGUGGGGAUGACGUCAAGUCAUCAUGGCCCUUACGACCAGGGCUACACACGUGCUACAAUGGCAUAUACAAAGAGAAGCGACCUCGCGAGAGCAAGCGGACCUCAUAAAGUAUGUCGUAGUCCGGAUUGGAGUCUGCAACUCGACUCCAUGAAGUCGGAAUCGCUAGUAAUCGUAGAUCAGAAUGCUACGGUGAAUACGUUCCCGGGCCUUGUACACACCGCCCGUCACACCAUGGGAGUGGGUUGCAAAAGAAGUAGGUAGCUUAACCUUCGGGAGGGC